GGCUCGUUGGUCUAGGGGUAUGAUCCUCACUUUGCGUGCGAGAGGCCCCGGGUCCGAACCCCGGACGAGCCC